GGAGGUAUGGCUCAAGUGGCAGAGUGUCUAACAAGCACAAGGUCCUGAGUUCAAACCCUAGUACCACCA
rnacentral:tRNA from 1 species